rnacentral:rRNA from 1 species
CCUACGGGCGGCUGCAGUGAGGAAUAUUGGUCAAUGGCCGGAAGGCUGAACCAGCCAUGCCGCGUGAAGGUCAGUGCCCUAUGGGCGUUAAACUUCUUUUGUGCGGGAGCAAUAAUGGUCACGUGUGGCCAGACGAGAGUACCGUACGAAUAAGCAUCGGCUAACUCCGUGCCAGCAGCCGCGGUAAUACGGGGGGUGCAAGCGUUAUCGGGAUUUAUUGGGUUUAAAGGGUGCGUAGACUGUGAGGUACGUCAGCGGGGAAAUGCCCCCGCUCAACGGGGUGAAGUGCCAUUGAUACUGCCUUGCUGGAGUGCGGAUGACGUGGGAGGAAUGUGUGGUGUAGCGGUGAAAUGCAUAGAUAUCACACAGAACACCGAUUGCGAAGGCAGCUCACGAAUCCGCGAUUGACGCUGAGGCACGAAAGCGUGGGUAGCAAACAGGAUUAGAUACCCUAGUAGUC